rnacentral:rRNA from 1 species
AUUGAACGCUGGCGGCAUGCCUUACACAUGCAAGUCGAACGGCAGCACGGGAGCGAUCCUGGUGGCGAGUGGCGAACGGGUGAGUAAUACAUCGGAACGUGCCCAAUCGUGGGGGAUAACGCAGCGAAAGCUGUGCUAAUACCGCAUGAGAUCUACGGAUGAAAGCAGGGGACCGCAAGGCCUUGCGCGAAUGGAGCGGC